AUACACUCCUGCAUUCAAUUUCCCACACUACACACAAAUGAACCCCUGCAUUCAAACAUUAAGACUUCAUUCAAACAUACCUCUGUAUUAAAGCACCAUCAUUAUAAAUAAACUUACCCCUGCAUUUAAAAAACACUACACAAAAAUUCACAUCUGCAUUCAAACGCCAACAUUCACACACAUGUACUCCACACAAGAACAUGCUUACAUUCAAACACACAAAGUCUGCUCAAAUACAGUGCUAAAUACAGCUCUGCACUAGUGGGCAAAUGGUAGAUCCCCAGUUGGCAAAGCAUUGUGAGACUUGUACGACAGAUGGGAAUCUACCUUUUUGCCACCCUUGCGAUACAGCAAAUUUUUGCACCAGGUCCCUCUAGUGCCGCCACUGUGCUUGACG